AAAGACUGAAUCCAAUACAGGUGGGGCCAAAGAAAGCUGGUUUUUGAGUCAACAUUAAUCUCAACCGGUUCUAAACUGGGGAAAGCCCACAGUAUGUCCAUGACCAAACCCAGCUUUUUCAAGGCUUUGCCAAGAAUGAAAAAAACAGAGGCAACUACUUAGCUCACAAUGGUGAUUCGAGGAGACCUGGAGAAAUACUCUUCAAUUUUAUUUUGGUACCUCUGGCUCCUCUUGAGGGCUUAGCAACAAGAAUUCCCAAUGGCUCUGUCAUCAGGGCAGCCGCAAGGUCAAGUGACGGCCCAGGAUCUGGUACUCAAAAGAGAACAAAGGAAUUAAGUCCACAUGAGUAUUGCACACAGAUAAGUUUUUCAUCAACAAACCACAUUCUCUCCAUGCCUAAGUGACGUCCUGGACUGUGAAUUAAAUGCCAUCCGCAGAAUAUCACGGCAACCAGUUAACUUUGGAAAACAAAACUGAACAAAACAAGUAACAACAACAAAA